rnacentral:rRNA from 1 species
CAGUACCGUGAGGGAAAGGUGAAAAGCACCCCGGAAGGGGAGUGAAAUAGAACCUGAAACCGUGUGCUUACAAGUAGUCAGAGCCCGUUAAUGGGUGAUGGCGUGCCUUUUGUAGAAUGAACCGGCGAGUUACGAUUUGAUGCAAGGUUAAGCAGUAAAUGUGGAGCCGUAGCGAAAGCGAGUCUGAAUAGGGCGUUUAGUAUUUGGUCGUAGACCCGAAACCAGGUGAUCUACCCUUGGUCAGGUUGAAGUUCAGGUAACACUGAAUGGAGGACCGAACCGACUUACGUUGAAAAGUGAGCGGAUGAACUGAGGGUAGCGGAGAAAUUCCAAUCGAACCUGGAGAUAGCUGGUUCUCUCCGAAAUAGCUUUAGGGCUAGCCUCAAGUGAUGAUUAUUGGAGGUAGAGCACUGUUUGGACGAGGGGCCCCUCUCGGGUUACCGAAUUCAGACAAACUCCGAAUGCCAAUUAAUUUAACUUGGGAGUCAGAACAUGGGUGAUAAGGUCCGUGUUCGAAAGGGAAACAGCCCAGACCACCAGCUAAGGUCCCAAAAUAUAUGUUAAGUGGAAAAGGAUGUGGCGUUGCCCAGACAACUAGGAUGUUGGCUUAGAAGCAGCCAUCAUUUAAAGAGUGCGUAAUAGCUCACUAGUCGAGUGACACUGCGCCGAAAAUGUACCGGGGCUAAACAUAUUACCGAAGCUGUGGAUUGUCCUUUGGACAAUGGUAGGAGAGCGUUCUAAGGGCGUUGAAGCAUGAUCGUAAGGACAUGUGGAGCGCUUAGAAGUGAGAAUGCCGGUGUGAGUAGCGAAAGACGGGUGAGAAUCCCGUCCACCGAUUGACUAAGGUUUCCAGAGGAAGGCUCGUCCGCUCUGGGUUAGUCGGGUCCUAAGCUGAGGCCGACAGGCGUAGGCGAUGGAUAACAGGUUGAUAUUCCUGUACCACCUAUAAUCGUUUUAAUCGAUGGGGG